UUUUUAUUCUAUUCUAUUCACAUCAUGUUUCUUUUUAUUUUAUUGUAUUUAUUCUAUUUUAUUCUGUUUUAUAUUAUAUUAUAUUAUAUUAUAUUAUAUUUUAUUAUAUUAUUUUCUAUUUUCUUUUCUAUAUUUUAUAAUCUACAUUUUAUUGACGUUUAUUGCUAGUUUACAUUCAUUAUAUUUUAAUCACAUCAUAUUUCUCGAUAGUUAAUUAUAUAUUUAGGUUCUAUUUCCCAUUUUUUUCAGGUCAUGUUCAUCAACAGUCAGAUGCAGAUGAAUGAUGGGUCAGAUGGUCUGAAGGCCGUACCCAUGCUGGCCAGAAGAGCAGCGAUGGCCUGAACAUCAGCUCCAGCGAAGAUGUCCGACAGAGAGUUGACCACCGGCAGACACAGCGUGUGCACACGGAUCCUCCGCUCUCCUGCAACAGCACAGAAGAGCACAGUCAGCGUCACAUGAUCAGUCGAGCGUCACAUGACACGUCAUCGUCACAUGAGCAUUCGAGCGUCACAUGACACGUCUGUGUCACAUGAUUAGUCGAGCGUCACAUGACACGUCACAUGAUCAUCUGCACGUCACAUGACACAUCACAUGAUCAGUGGAGCGUCACAUGACACGUCACAUGAUCAGUCGAGCGUCACAUGAUCAGUCGAGCGUCGCGCACCUUUGCUGGCGGUGUAGAGCAGCGCGGCCUGGAAGGACACGGUCUGCAGGUCCAGCAGGUUCUCCUCGAUGCUCAUCUGCACGGCGAAGCCGGCGUCGGGGUUCACGUUGGGCAGAGACAGCAGGUCGGUGGAGCGCACGAAGAAGUUCCCGUGGAAGGUGUGUAUGGACAGACCUGCAGACGACAGAAGAACACGUCAGUGUUCAGCAGGGCUGGACUCAGACCGACGCCUCACUCCACACACCUUUAGUGCAGCGGAUCCUCAUCACGGCCUCGAAGCCGAUCUUGCGCGUCAGGUAUCUCUUCAGAUCCUUCUGGAGGCGCUCCGUCUGAGGCGGGUUGUGCUGCUUGUGGUAUGAAGGGUAGAAAUAGACGCUUCCGGCCGAGUAUCUGGAUAUACAGCCUUCAGGAGGAGACGAAGGAUCGAUCGUUAGAGUUUAUACACACACAAACAUCACUGGAUCAAUCAUGUUUUAGAGUCUCAAAUCUGAUCAUCAGGAUCUUUUGAGGAGCGUUUGUUUCCAGAAGCUUUACUUUCACUGUUCCUCAGCGGAGGAAUGAUCUUCACAAGCCUCCAGAACAUCUCACAUCUUCUGAGGAGCCUUUAUUUCUUCAUCUCUCAAUCACUGCAUUAUAUGUUUGGAUCAUUUACAUCUCAAUCACUGAGACACAUUACUGCAGAUAUAGAGCUCUACUGUACUGAUUUACAUCACAAGCAGCAGAAUCUCAUCAUAUAAAU
ensembl:lncRNA